rnacentral:rRNA from 1 species
GAUGAACGCUGGCGGCGUGCCUAAUACAUGCAAGUCGAGCGAACAGACGAGGAGCUUGCUCCUCUGACGUUAGCGGCGGACGGGUGAGUAACACGUGGAUAACCUACCUAUAAGACUGGGAUAACUUCGGGAAACCGGAGCUAAUACCGGAUAAUAUAUUGAACCGCAUGGUUCAAUAGUGAAAGACGGUUUUGCUGUCACUUAUAGAUGGAUCCGCGCCGCAUUAGCUAGUUGGUAAGGUAACGGCUUACCAAGGCAACGAUGCGUAGCCGACCUGAGAGGGUGCUCGGCCACACUGGAACUGAGACACGGUCCAGACUCCUACGGGAGGCAGCAGUAGGGAAUCUUCCGCAAUGGGCGAAAGCCUGACAGAGCAACGCCGAGUGAGUGAUGAAGGUCUUCGGAUCGUAAAACUCUGUUAUUAGGGAAGAACAAAUGUGUAAGUAAAUAUGCACGUCUUGACGGUACCUAAUCAGAAAGCCACGGCUAACUACGUG